rnacentral:rRNA from 1 species
GACGGAGGAUGCAAGCGUUAUCCGGAAUGAUUGGGCGUAAAGCGUCUGUAGGUGGUUGAUUAAGUCUACUGUUAAAUAUCAGGGCUUAACCCUGAGCAGGCAAUAGAAACUAAUAAGCUAGAGUACGGUAGGGGCAGAGGGAAUUCCCGGUGUAGCGGUGAAAUGCGUAGAGAUCGGGAAGAACACCAAUGGCGAAAGCACUCUGCUGGGCCGAAACUGACACUGAGAGACGAAAGCUAGGGGAGCAAAUGGG